rnacentral:tRNA from 1 species
GCCUGAGUGGCGGAAUAGGUAGACGCACAGGACUUAAAAUCCUGCGAGCUUCAACACUCGUGUCGGUUCAAGUCCGACCUUAGGCACCA